AUGUUGUAACAUGCGUUAGGUUAGAAUAAAGCAAGUGAUCUUCCUAAGCUAUCGCAAGCUAAAUAACUGCAUUUGGAGUCAAAGGAGUCGGAUGGUCUUUGCUCGAGGUCGAUUAAUUUCGGGUCGAUUUCACACGUUUAAUUACUUGAACGUUAAAGAAACAACUCUUAGCAAUGGAUAUCUUGGUUCUC
rnacentral:misc_RNA from 1 species